CGGCGGACGGGUGAGUAACACGUGGGUAACCUACCUAUAAGACUGGGACAACUUCGGGAAACCGGAGCUAAUACCGGAUAAGAUAUCGAACCGCAUGGUUCGAUAGUGAAAGAUGGUUUUGCUAUCACUUAUAGAUGGACCCGCACCGUAUUAGCUAGUUGGUGAGGUAACGGCUCACCAAGGCAACGAUACGUAGCCGACCUGAGAGGGUGAUCGGCCACACUGGAACUGAGACACGGUCCAGACUCCUACGGGAGGCAGCAGGU
rnacentral:rRNA from 1 species